GACGAACGCUGGCGGCGUGCUUAACACAUGCAAGUCGAACGGAAAGGCCCUGCUUUUGUGGGGUGCUCGAGUGGCGAACGGGUGAGUAACACGUGAGUAACCUGCCCUUGACUUUGGGAUAACUUCAGGAAACUGGGGCUAAUACCGGAUAGGAGCUCCUGCUGCAUGGUGGGGGUUGGAAAGUUUCGGCGGUUGGGGAUGGACUCGCGGCUUAUCAGCUUGUUGGUGGGGUAGUGGCUUACCAAGGCUUUGACGGGUAGCCGGCCUGUGCGGGUGACCGGCCACAUUGGGAGUGAGAUACGGCCCAGACUCCUACGGGAGGCAGCAGUGGGGAAUAUUGCACAAUGGGCGGAAGCCUGUUGCAGCAACGCCGCGUGCGGGAUGACGGCCUUCGGGUUGUAGACCGCUUUCGCCUGUUACGAAGCGUGAGUGACGGUAAUGGGUAAAGAAGCACCGGCUAACUACGUG
rnacentral:rRNA from 1 species